AUGGGAACUCUGUGGACAAAGAACAAGCAAAUGGAGGCUUACUGCUGUCUUUUACAAUUCCCUGAACGUGCCUUGAGAUUUCUUAUUCCUGCACCACUGCCAGGUAGGGUUCCCUAUCUUCUGGCUUGGACAAGCUGUUUCUGGAUGCUGGGGAAAAGCUUGGCUACACAUCUCACUCAGAAUGUCUCCCUUAAGAGUCAUCAUUUCUGGAAGUGCUUCCAGGUAUUUCAAGAAGGAAUAGUGAAGCAACUGGGACAGAGUCCUACGAUUCACCUGCCAGAGGAGGCAAAGAGCUUUGCGGCUGAAAUACAUCAUCUGACAAAGUCAAGUUCUAAUUAUAUUUAUGCAAGGUUAAAUUUGAAGUGA
rnacentral:lncRNA from 1 species